UAAAAUAUGAAGGACUAAAAUUUUUAAUUCGAUUAUAGCAUUUUAAACAGUGGUUAGAUAUAAGAGAUUAAGCAGUGGAAUAACCUCUUCUCCCCCUUUAUAUUCAAAUGCUAAUUUUUUAUCUGAGAACAGUAGUUCUCGGUUAUCUAUAAUAAUCGGGUAUAACUAUUCCCACCAACACUUUCAUUUUUUAUAUAUAACUAUUCAUUAUUUUUCUUAUUCCAUAUUACUAUCCAAACGCUAUUUUUCUUAUCCCCGGAAACAACCCAAUUUUCAUCCAAACGUUAUUUUUCUUAUCCUCAUACUUGUACCUAUUUUUGUAAUAACUAGUUCUUACUUAUACCCGAACCAAACGGUGCCUUAAGAAAGUUAAAUAUGUUAGAAUUAGAGUAGCUCUAGAAUGGAUAAUUUUCUGGAAAGUGGAGCAUAUCAGUUAAAACUAGUGAGAAAAUUAGUGAGAUUAAGUCUUACAUUAUCAUAUGGUUAUGAAUUUCUAAAUUCGGUUAUAGCGGAUAUAAGAUGUUAAGAAAGUUAAGCAUGGUAGGACUGGAGUAAUCCUAAGAUGGAUAACCUUUUAAAAAAUUAGGCAUCACAAUAUCUUUCUUUAUUUUCUUAUUAUUAAAGU
rnacentral:lncRNA from 1 species